GGAAUUAGCAGCCCGAGAAGUGAGGACUUUGACUUUUUGCAACUAAGUCGGUGCGUCGCUGAACAUAUGUGCCUAACAAAAAUGGAAAGGUGUAAAUGCUGUGUAACAGGUGGGUUAAAAAUGGAAACUAAACCAACAGUGAAGAGGUCUGCAUCCGAUCUGGAUGUCAUUGACUUGGAUGUUUACUCCACGGCCAGAAAAAAGGCCAAAGUGUCAGCAUCAUAUCUAGAUGACAUAGACCUAGAUGACGAUUCCACGUCCAGCAAAAACACCAAAGGGUCCAUAUCAGAUCUGGAUGACAUUGACCUCGAUGUGGAUUCUGCACCUAGAAUAUGUAGAAUAAAAACAAAAGUAACUGUUAACAGUUCCUUGGAUGGAGGAAAUUUCAGUCAGAAGACUGAAGACUUCUGUGAAGCUGGCAAUGCGGAUGAUUCAGGGAUAUUAACUGGGUCACCCAGUGGAUUCACAACAAUUAGGACUGCAGUUAAUGUUGAAAAUGGAGGAAUGUCAGACUGGACUCAAGAUGAUAUGUCAGCCAUUUCCAAGAUUGCAUCACUGCAACAAGAUGCUGAGGUCAUUGCGUCUUUGGUGCCCAAUGUUGGUGUGUCAGUAAUUUAUGACAAACUUUUCCCAAUUAGAACAAAUCCAAACCGAAUGGACAUUGUGACAACAGAAUUACUUGACAAUCCACCUGAUGCCGCACAAACAGAUGAAGCCCCUAGAAGCAAAGGAGAAACUGCUUCAAAGCCAGCUCUCUAUGAGGAUGUGAAAUCUGUGAUUCACAAAGUUAAGCAAGUUGCUGCAUCUAUGAAAUUAAAUCCUGCUGAAAUUUAUGUUCUCCUGGAAAGGCAUGCUGAUGCUGCUGACCGGACAGAUGUUGUUGCUAAUCUGUUUCUCCAAGAUUUGAAGAAUACCGCUGGAGCUUCCAAUGAAGUGGACCUGUUUGAUGAGGUUCAGAAGGUGAUCACAAAGGUCCCAGCAGCAAAUCCUGAUCAGGUUUAUGCCUUGCUGGAGUCUUUUAGUAGCCAUGGUGACAGAGUUCAGAAAGUGGUUGAUCAUUUGUCAAAAGUUGUUGACAAGCCCAUCGUAAUUGAUGAUGAUUCUUUACCCAGUGAACCACAGUUGAUAAAUGACGACCCAGUGUUCUCAGACAUGAAAAAGGUAGCUGAAAUGUUUCCUGAAAUGGACAGGAAUGAAAUCUAUGCAUAUUUAGAAGCUCACCAUGAUAAGAAAGACAGGGUGUUGAGGGUGACAGAGGAAAUUGGUCGUUCAUCAACAGGUAGCCGCAGCACACCUCUAUCAGUCUCCAGUGAUGGAGGGGAGGUAACUCCAAUGAAACCAGCUUUUCAAGGUGCCUGUAGCCUUCAGGGGGAGGUUGACCAACUGCGGGAAAUAUUCCCAGAUUGUGAUCCUAACUAUCUGUUUGAACAGCUGGAAGAAAAGGCAAAUGAUGCAGAGAGAGUGAAAAAUUUGGCAGCACAAAUGUUUGAAAAACGGAACUAUCCAAAAAUUAAAGAUAUGUUGGAAAAAAAACAAAAAAAUGAUAGACAAGAACAGAUUAAGAAUUUAAAAUUUGACAUGGAAAACUUCUUAUCCAAAUUUCCAGAUCCAGUGGAAUAUUUCUCAAAAACAGACACAAAUAUGAGUGACAGUUAUAAAGAGCACUGCUUUGUCUAUGUUAGAAAUGAGUUUGACUGUUUCACAUUGGCACACAUGAAGAAGGUACUGGAGAAGUACAACCACCAUCUGGCACCAGCUCUCAGAGAACUGAAACAACUGAAAGAGGAGCCUGCUGAAACAAAAAAACGGCGCCGGAAAAUCAAGAGAAAACAUUCACCAUUUCCAGAUGAACCAGAUGAGAGAUUUUAUCAUGAACUUCUCUUCUCACAAAAUGAACAGAGAGUCACAGAUCAUUUUGUUAACAGAGAGCUGGAUAGGAAACAAAAACUUGAAGCUGCAAGAAGAAAUAGUGAACUGUAUGAAUGUGGAUGUUGUUUUGAUGAUGAACUUCUGUUUGAGGACUUGUCUGCCUGUGCAGACGGCCAUCUCGUCUGUCGAGAAUGUAUCCGCCGAUCUACGGAGUCCGCCCUUGGUGAAGGGAAGACAAAAUUCCCCUGCUUGACAGGGGAGUGUGAGUAUGACAUUCCACUGACAGUCCUGCAGGAAGUCCUCACAUCAGCAAUGUUCUCAAGAAUGUUGUCACGGUUACAAGAAGAGGAGAUUCGAAUGGCUGAAAUUCCUGAUCUUGUCGCGUGCCCAUUCUGUAAUUUUGCCACCAUUAUGUCUGACCCAAGUGAUAAAGUAUUUAAGUGCCUCAACCCAGAAUGCCUCAAGGAGACUUGCAGACUGUGCAAGGAACCCAAUCAUGUGCCACUGAAGUGUGAGGAGGUGGAGAAACAAGGGGAAACCAGCAUGAGAACCUACAUCGAGAACCGCAUCUCGGAGGCCAUGUUGAGAACCUGUCACCGCUGCAAGAAGAGGUUCUACAAGGAGACUGGCUGCAACAGGAUGACAUGUUCCUGUGGCGCUACCAGUUGCUACGUGUGCCGGAAACCAAAUAUUGACUACAGCCAUUUCCAAGGUGGAAGAUGCAGCAACACUGAGGAUGCCCAAAAAAUCCACUUGGAGGAGAUGGAGAAGGCAGCCAAGGAGGCCAAGGCACAAUAUCUGAAGGAUCACCCGGAUGCAGACAUCCACUCUCUCAAGUACGACCCCAGGAAACAUGUACAAGAAUAUAAACUGACAUCCGGUUUUGGGAUUAGGAAUGGAGAAAGGGAUACUGGUGAUGAUGAUGAAGAGGUUGAAGAUGAUGCCGAUGAUGGCAUACAAGUGGUGGAAGAUGAAUGGUCAGAUGACGAUGGGUUAGGGUAUUAUUUCUACUUCUAGGACAAAUCCUGUCUACUUCAAGACCAAGUUAUUAUCAUUGCUCCUAUCUUAUAAUCUGUCACUUCAUUGUCCUGUGUCAGGAGUUUAAAUAACAGAUGGAGUAUGCCAUUAACAUUGUCCAAACUCAGGCCGACAGGCUAGGGUUACAUGGCUGUGAAGCCUUGCACAGUGCCUCAGAGAGUAUUCAUUGUUUACAUAUUUAUUUUUCUAUACAAAUGGCUACAGUAUGUCUUUAGGUAGUCUGUUGUUUCAUGUUUGGCCAUAAAUCUUCUUGUCAUUAUGCUCAGAUCCACAAGCAUGGUACGACCAUUUUACUAAACUAAUCAUAACAGAUUCUGCAUUGCUGAGAUCAUAUGUUAGUAAUGUAAAAUAUGGAUACGAAUAGUUACUAUGAGUCCAUACACACUAUAUUUUGAGGUUGUGAAAUAAUAAAAGCAUUCACAUCA
rnacentral:misc_RNA from 1 species